AGGAACAUUGGAUAUCUAACUGGGAGUCAUGUGAGUGAAAACAUCCUAAGCUCAUCAAAGUCAGAAAUGGCUGUGAUUAUGUUGCAGCUUCAGGACGAUGGACAGCGUGAUGUUCUGUGGUGGUCGCUGCAGCAGGGAAGAGAGAGAGACAACAGGUAACAUUGAGACAUUCUCUAUAUCCGGAGAGCAGCAGCAGGAAGAUCACAGACCUAAGAGGUCUCACCACUUCCCACAUUGUAAAGAGAUUUUCCCAAGUCUUUCAAAGCUAAAAAUACACACACGAGAGAAGCCUUACUCUUGCUCUGACUGUGGAAAAUGCUUAAUAACAUCAUCUGACCUAACAGUUCACCAGAGAACAGAACACACACAGGAGAGAAGCCGGGUGGUGCAGUGGUCUAAGGUAGAGACUCUGGGUUCGAGACCAGGCUCUGUCGCAGCCGGCCAUGAUCGGGAGGUCUCUCCCGAGACCGUACCGGAGUUGUAGCGAUGAGACCAGAUAGUAACUACUAAACAUUUGGAUACUACGAAAUUGUGGAGAAAAAGGGGGUAAAAUUUAAAAAAUAUAUACUUUUUUUUUAAGCACAUGAACAUACAGGAGAAAAGCAUUUUUCCUGCUCUGACUGCGGGAAGAGUUUUUCUCAACGGAGCAUCUCAAAAUACACCAACGUUUACAUACAGGAGAGAAGCCUUACUCUUGCUCUGACUGUGGUAAAUACUUCCCAACAUCAUCUGCGCUAAAUGUUCAUCAGACCCUCCCUGAAUGCUUGAGGAAAAACAAGUGACUCUCCCCUCUUUCCAUAAUAAUAAUGAAAUAUAAAGUGGACAGCAGAGAACAUGCCUAUUGUUUACCCUCACUCCUAGAACAGACCAGAGCCUUAGAUACGCAGUUUUACAAACAGUUCUUCUUUUUGUAAGCGUCACAUGUCAAAGGUUGUGGAUUCCCAGAACACCGAAUAUAUUUUUUUAUUUCAGAACAGUGCAUGAUAAUGAAUGAGGCAUACUGCAGCACCCAAGACCUUUUGAUUUCUAUACAGGCUAUUGUUCAAAAAUAUUCUACAACGGGUUGGUCAAAACAAGCUUUGUGAUUGGUUGAGACGUGUUCUAAGCGAUUCAAAAAACAUUGUUUAGCACAGAUGAUGCAAAAAUGGGAAUCUUGUUUUCUGUUCUGUCUGACAGAUCCCUGCUCAUCCACUGGCCCAUCAGCCCAGCCAGCCAAUUAAUUAACUUGAUCUCCACUGUAAAAGGCAUCUAGACAUUAUUUCCCCUUGCUUCUAGCCUAACAUUUUUGUUUUGUUGUACAAACGUUGCUGUCUUUCUCUCAACAUUUGCAACAUCGUUUCAUUAUUGAAAUUCAAUAUGCACUAUCCUAUUGAGAAUUAACAUGUCAGGACAAGACUGACAUCUUGUCUCAGCCAGUUGAAAUUAUGAAUCCGCAAAAUCAUUAUGGAUAUAUACAAAGAAAUGUCCAUUUAAAACCAGGUCAAAGGAAAUUAAAAGUAGUUACUUUGCUGUUAUUCUAGCUGCAUGGUUUGAUGUGACUGUUAAUAGUAGUUGGCUAGCUAGCAGGCAAGGGAUAAGAGUGUUAUCAGUAUAAAUGUAUAGCUGGGGAGGUGACGCCCAUAAGGGAAGAGUAUAACAUGUGUUGUGAGCUUUCUAAAUGCAUGCACUCAGCUGACUGUAUCCUUGGUAUUAAACACUCUCUUAAACUUC